AUUAAGGGAAAGAAUAUAGGAUUAUCUACCUUUGAAAAAGAGUUUCUGGCUAUCUUAAUGACAAUACAAAAGUGGAGACACUACUUAAUUUUCAAAAGUUUCAUUAUUAAAAUUGACCAUGAAAGCCUAAGUAUUUAAUGAAAAAGAAUAUAACUACAUUAACAAUAUCCUAGCUAGAGGAAGGGAAAAGAGAAUGUUGCAGCAGAUGCUUUGUUGAGGAGAGAUGCAGAAAGGGGUAUGAUUCUAGUGAUGUCAGCAGCAGCACCAGCAUAGGAUUUGAAAUUAGU
rnacentral:lncRNA from 1 species